rnacentral:rRNA from 1 species
GGAAGGUCCGGGCGUUAUUCGGAUUUAUUGGGUUUAAAGGGAGCGUAGGCCGUCUUAUAAGCGUGUUGUGAAAUGUCGGGGCUCAACCUGGGCAUUGCAGCGCGAACUGUGAGACUUGAGUGCGCAGGAAGUAGGCGGAAUUCGUCGUGUAGCGGUGAAAUGCUUAGAUAUGACGAAGAACUCCGAUUGCGAAGGCAGCCUGCUGUAGCGCAACUGACGCUGAAGCUCGAAAGUGCGGGUAUCGAACAGGAUUAGAUACCCUGGUAGUCCGCACGGUAAACGAUGGAUGCCCGCUGUUGGCCUGAAUAGGUCAGCGGCCAAGCGAAAGCAUUAAGCAUCCCACCUGGGGAGU